rnacentral:rRNA from 1 species
GAUGAACGCUAGCGGGAGGCCUAACACAUGCAAGCCGAGCGGUAUUGUUUCUUCGGAAAUGAGAGAGCGGCGUACGGGUGCGUAACACGUGUGCAACCUGCCUUUAUCUGGGGGAUAGCCUUUCGAAAGGAAGAUUAAUACUCCAUAAUAUAUUGAACGGCAUCGUUUAAUAUUGAAAGCUCCGGCGGAUAGAGAUGGGCACGCGCAAGAUUAGCUAGUUGGUGAGGUAACGGCUCACCAAGGCGAUGAUCUUUAGGGGGCCUGAGAGGGUGAUCCCCCACACUGGUACUGCGACACGGACCAGACUCCUACGGGAGGCAGCAGUGAGGAAUAUUGGUCAAUGGGUGCAAGCCUGAACCAGCCAUCCCGCGUGAAGGACGACUGCCCUAUGGGUUGUAAACUUCUUUUGUAUAGGGAUAAACCUACCCUCGAGAGGGUAGCUGAAGGUACUAUACGAAUAAGCACCGGCUAACUCCGUG